GAUAGCUGGUUCUCCCCGAAAUAGCUUUAGGGCUAGCCUCAGGGUAAAGAUUGCAGGCGGUAGAGCACUGAUCAGGAGAGGGACCUACCCGGUUACCAAACCCAGUCAAACUACGAAUGGCUGCAAUUAUACCUGGGAGUCAGACUACGACUUAUAAGGGCCGUGGUCAAAAGGGAAACAGCCCAGAUCAUCAGCUAAGGUCCCAAAUGCCGUGCUAAGUGGCGAAGGAUGUGGCGUUUCAUAAACAACCAGGAUGUUGGCUCAGAAGCAGCCACCAUUUAAAGAGUGCGUAAUAGCUCACUGGUCGAGAGACGCUGCGCCGAAAAUGUCCGGGGCUCAAGCACGGAACCGAAGCUAUGGCAUUGCGUAAGCAAUGGGUAGGGGAGCGUUCUUAUGGGGAAGAAGCAUUACCGUAAGGAGAUGUGGACACAUAAGAAGUGAGAAUGCCGGUAUGAGUAUCGAAAAGAAAGGUGAGAAUCCUUUCCACCGAAAGCCCGAGGGUUCCUGAGCAACGAUCGUCGUCUCAGGGUAAGUCGGGACCUAAGCCGAGGCACAGACGCAUAGGCGAUGGACAACAGGUUGAAAUUCCUGUACCGGAUGGAGUCAUUUGAGCAAUGGAGUGACGCAGGAGGGCACAUGAUCGCGCGACUGGAAGAGCGCGUCCAAGUGCGUAUGUUGAAUCGGAGGCAAAUCCCCGAUUCUGAAAGCAGAGACAUGAUGGGGAGUUAUAAGCGAUUAUGACGAACUCAUGGAUCCCACACUGCCAAGAAAAACUUCUAGCGAGACGAAAUCCGCCCGUACCGUAAACCGACACAGGUAGGCGGGGAGAGAAUCCUAAGGUGCGCGGGAAAACCCUCGUUAAGGAACUCGGCAAAUUGCAUCCGUAACUUCGGGAGAAGGAUGGCCCUGAGUAGGCGAAGUGCAGAAACGCACGGAACAGAAAAGGGUGGCAGAAAAGAGGCCCAAGCAACUGUUUACCAAAAACACAGGUGCCUGCGAAAGCGAAAGCUGAAGUAUAGGUGCUGACGCCUGCCCGGUGCUGGAAGGUUAAGGAGAGAGGUUAGCGCAAGCGAAGCUUUGAACUGAAGCCCCAGUGAACGGCGGCCGUAACUAUAACGGUCCUAAGGUAGCGAAAUUCCUUGUCGGGUAAGUUCCGACCCGCAUGAAAGGCGUAAUGAUUUGGGCGCUGUCUCAACGAGGGGCCCGGUGAAAUUGAAAUACCUGUGAAGAUGCAGGUUACCCGCGACUGGACAGAAAGACCCCAUGGAGCUUUACUGCAGCUUGAGAUUGAAUCCCGGUGGCAGACGCACAGGAUAGGUGGGAGGCUUUGAGAUAGUGACUUUGGUUGCUAUGGAGCCGACGUUGGGAUACCACCCUUCUGUUGCUGGGAUUCUAACGCGAAGAUUAACAACCUUGCGGACCAUCUCAGGUAGGCGGUUUGACUGGGGCGGUCGCCUCCGAAAGAGUAACGGAGGCG
rnacentral:rRNA from 1 species